GUCAAAACACAGAACACACAGAGCAGGGUGAGCGCAGCAGAGAAAACACAGGUGGAAAGUCUGUCAGCGUGCAGGCCGGGCCGAGCACAAUGGGCGCAUUGUCCGGGCGUCAACACUGAGCCGAUUCACGGCGGAGCGAGAGCCGCUGGGCGUCCACGCAGGAAACACCGGCAGAGCGCCUGGUGGGGAUGACGUGACUGCAGCAGGCUGAGAGCGUCAGCCUGAGCCGCGAGGUCACCGCGUCACAAACAUUCGGACGCUAUAACAGGAGCUGAGGAUCGUCAUCUGCAGCUGCUUAGAACUAUUUCCUCUGACGGCAUCAGGAUCUACAUGAACUGAGCUCAUUUACGCACCCAGAAACACAGACAACUUUGUUGUUUGUUAUAAAUGAUGCCGACACGCAGACAGGACGGAUCUGGAUCUACCAGCAGGUCACAGCGUGAGGAACGUUAACGGACGCAGUGAUGAAGCAGCAUUCAUGAUGUCAUGUCUAAGAAGGGAGCUGAUUGGUGGACGGGCUCCUACCUGAAGUGGAGUCCUUCUGCGAGCACCGUGUCCAUCUGCAUCCCUCCGAUCCUGUUGAAGACGAUCGCUCUCUGACCUCCUUCAACUGCAGACAAGACGAAAAAAAUUAGGUUUUUAAAAGUCGAAUCUGCCAACUGGAUGAGUUAAAACUAAUAAAUAUGAAUUAAUUGUACACUACUGUCCAAACGUCUGGGGUCGCUUAGAAAUGUCCUUAUUUAUAAAAGAAAAAUAGCUUUUUCAAUGAUAACAAUCAGAAAUCCAGUCUAACUGAUGAUCAAAAAACCCUUGUGAAGUUACAUUAGCGCAUGAAAAAAAGUGUGUUUUCAUAGAAAACAUGGAAGAGUCUGGAUGGAAUGGUAGAGUAAAUUACCUCAUUACUAGCCAUAAUAUUUAAUAUGCUAUUUAGGAUCUGUCAGUUAUCAUACUGUUGUUUUUCAGGAUAUUUUGUUACGUUAGUAAAGUUUUUCUCCAUAAUUAAGGACACUGAAGGGCAUCAGCCUAAAUAUGUAUCGUAGUCAAGAAAACCAGUAUUUUAUGUAAUUUAUUUGAAGUUUCAGUCCUUAUUGUGCAAAUGAUUCAGAUAAAAAUCACACCAUUAACAACAUGACAGGGUUUUAAAUCCAACAGCUGUUCUUUUGAAUCUACUGUAUUAAAAACAAACAUUGACUUGA